rnacentral:sRNA from 2 species
AUGGCUCCCCUGCAUGUCUCCGGCUGAUCGCUGCCGCUCCGCCAAUACAAUAGAGCCAGCCACUACCAGCAGCCUGGCCCUCUUCCUCCUUCUCCAGAGAGACCAAUCCAGCCGAACUCGGGGUUUGCCUGAGGAGAAGGAGGAAGUGACCAUGGACACAAGUGAAAACAGACCUGAAAAUGAUGUUCCAGAACCUCCCAUGCCUAUUGCAGACCAAGUCAGCAAUGAUGACCGCCCGGAGGGCAGUGUUGAAGAUGAGGAGAAGAAAGAGGUCCUUCUUCCCCGUAAAACUUUGUCCAAGUACCUCAUGUACGGUAAUCCGCCCGUAAAAUAUAACCCUGCCCAACUGGCCAAUCGCUGAUGCCGCCUCUUCCUCUGGACCCACCCGCUGCUACUGAGCUGCCCAAUCAGAGCCAAGUCUGCUAUCCAGGUGUCUUGGCCAGAGGGGGGCAUGUAUAUGGGCUCCUGUGAUGGGCCCCCUUUUGCCUCCCUGUCUUGCUUACAUCAGGGGGCCAAGAAGAACACUGUUCUGGAGAGACUUGUAUUGAGCAAGCAAAAAACAUUUGGAAAGGGGUGGACUUGCAUCAUCUCCCUACUUGGGACACCCCAA